CCUUAUUCUUAAAGGUCUCGAUGUACUGAAGCCCUUAUUCUUAAAGGUCUCGAUGUACUGAAGCCCUUAUUCUUAAAGGUCUCGAUGUACUGAAGCCCUUAUUCUUAAAGGUCUCGAUGUACUGAAGCCCUUAUUCUUAAAGGUCUCGAUGUACUGAAGCCCUUAUUCUUAAAGGUCUCGGCAUCUCAGUUCGCCUGUUUGAAAAGCCGCUCGUAAACAGUGCUGGGAUUUUCAUGGACUGCCUUGUGAGUUAUGAUCCCAUUGAGAGCUUUACAUGACUUCAGCCUCAUGAUCAGGAGAAAACACCCAAGAAAUUCUGGUUAAUCUUUUCUGGGGCCUUGGAAAACAGUCGUAAUGGAUGGAAGCUCGAUAAGUUUAACCCCUUGUGAUCCCAUUGAUAGUUUUGCACGAUUUCAGCCUCAUGAUCAGAACACACCCAACAAAACCUGGUUAAUCUUCUCUGGGGCCUUGGAAAACAGUCGUAAUGGAUGGAAGCUCGAUAAGUUUAACCCCCUGUGAUCCCAUUGAUAGUUUUGAACGAUUUCUGCCUCAUGAUCAGGAGAACACACCCAAGAAAACCUAGUUAUUCUUCUCUGGGGCCUUGGAAAACAGUCGUAAUGGAUGGAAGCUCGAUAAGUUUAACCCCUUGUGAUCCCAUUGAUAGCUUUACACGACUUCAGCCUCAUGAUCAGGAGAAAACACCCAAUAAAACCUAGUUAUUCUUCUCUGGGGCCUUGGAAAACAGUCUUAAUGGAUAGAAGCUCGAUACGUUUAACCCCCUGUGAUCCCAUUGAUAGUUUUGAACGAUUUCUGCUUUAUGAUCAGAACACAUCCAAGAAAACCUAGUUAAUCUUUUCUGGGGCCUUGGAAAACAGUCGUAAUGGAAG